GAUGAACGCUGACAGAAUGCUUAACACAUGCAAGUCAACUUGAAUUUGGGUUUUUAACUUAGGUUUGGGUGGCGGACGGGUGAGUAACGCGUAAAGAACUUGCCUCACAGCUAGGGACAACAUUUGGAAACGAAUGCUAAUACCUAAUAUUAUGAUAAUAGGGCAUCCUAUAAUUAUGAAAGCUAUAAGCGCUGUGAGAGAGCUUUGCGUCCCAUUAGCUAGUUGGAGAGGUAACGGCUCACCAAGGCGAUGAUGGGUAGCCGGCCUGAGAGGGUGAUCGGACACAAGGGGACUGAGACACGGCCCUAACUGCUACGGGAGGCAGCAGUGAGGAAUAUGGGACAAUAGACCGAGAGACUGGUCCAGCAAUUCUGUGUGCACGAUGAAGUUUUUCGGAAUGUAAAGUGCUUUCAGUUAGGAAGAAACAAAUGACGGUACCAACAGAAGAAGUGACGGCUAAAUACGUG
rnacentral:rRNA from 1 species